AGCGAACGCUGGCGGCAGGCCUAACACAUGCAAGUCGAACGAACCUUUCUGGGUUAGUGGCGGACGGGUGAGUAACACUUGGGAACGUGCCUUUAGGUUCGGAAUAACUCAGGGAAACUUGUGCUAAUACCGAAUGUGCCCUUCGGGGGAAAGAUUAAUCGCCUUUAGAGCGGCCCGCGUCUGAUUAGCUAGUUGGUUGAGGUAAUGGCUCACCAAGGCGACGAUCAGUAGCUGGUCUGAGAGGAUGAUCAGCCACAUUGGGACUGAGACACGGCCCAAACUCCUACGGGAGGCAGCAGUGGGGAAUCUUGCGCAAUGGGCGAAAGCCUGACGCAGCCAUGCCGCGUGAAUGAUGAAGGUCUUAGGAUUGUAAAAUUCUUUCACCGGGGACGAUAAUGACGGUACCCGGAGAAGAAGCCCCGGCUAACUUCGUG
rnacentral:rRNA from 1 species